AUUUCUCAAAAAUUGGCCUCAUUUUCGAAGUCGAGGUUUUGCUGCCGUUCGACAGUCUGGAUCCUCGCGAUCCUAGGAGAGUUGGUUCUUCAACGAUUAGGCCCCAAUUGUCCGGGAUAUAGCCUUACGAAGAUUGGGAUUUGCAUACCAUUAAAAUAGGCCAUAGUCAUGAUUCCACUGCUGUGCCGCUGAGUCGACAAGGUGGCGUGCCGUCCGCUGCAGCAGCGACCAGAGAUCGACAGCAAUCAAACGCUGGGCUAUAGCUUUGAAACGCAGGUCUUCUGUACCCCACGCAUUGCCACAAAAGGAGUCGUAUCCGAUUUCAUCCCUCGACCUGGCCAUCGAUAACAAGGACUUUGACUAGGACUACCAAGGGAAGAACACUCUAGAUAUAUCGUGUUGUUGUUAGGUUUAAGGAUAUACGCGUUCAUAUAUUUAGAUAGUAGUCAAAAAUGUUUUCCACUUGUUUAAAUAUUUAUACUUAGCUAAGUUAUGAUGAAUAAAACUUUUGAAAAAUUA